AAGUCGAGCGGUACACAGAGAGCUUGCUCUCGGGUGACGAGCGGCGGACGGGUGAGUAAUGUCUGGGAAACUGCCUGAUGGAGGGGGAUAACUACUGGAAACGGUAGCUAAUACCGCAUAAUGUCCCAAGACCAAAGUGGGGGACCUUCGGGCCUCAUGCCAUCAGAUGUGCCCAGAUGGGAUUAGCUAGUAGGUGGGGUAACGGCUCACCUAGGCGACGAUCCCUAGCUGGUCUGAGAGGAUGACCAGCCACACUGGAACUGAGACACGGUCCAGACUCCUACGGGAGGCAGCAGUGGGGAAUAUUACACAAUGGGCGCAAGCCUGAUGCAGCCAUGCCGCGUGUGUGAAGAAGGCCUUCGGGUUGUAAAGCACUUUCAGCGGGGAGGAAGGCGUUAAGGUUAAUAACCUUGGCGAUUGACGUUACCCGCAGAAGAAGCACCGGCUAACUCCGUGCCAGCAGCCGCGGUAAUACGGAGGGUGCAAGCGUUAAUCGGAAUUACUGGGCGUAAAGCGCACGCAGGCGGUCUGUCAAGUCGGAUGUGAAAUCCCCGGGCUCAACCUGGGAACUGCAUUCGAAACUGGCAGGCUAGAGUCUUGUAGAGGGGGGUAGAAUUCCAGGUGUAGCGGUGAAAUGCGUAGAGAUCUGGAGGAAUACCGGUGGCGAAGGCGGCCCCCUGGACAAAGACUGACGCUCAGGUGCGAAAGCGUGGGGAGCAAACAG
rnacentral:rRNA from 1 species